rnacentral:misc_RNA from 1 species
AGGGAAUUGGCGGGCACGACAACUUCUGAUGACCCACAGGAACUUGUGGAACUUAUGUCUCUUUGAGAAAUAGGAACUUUCAAGCAGAUGAGAAACGAACCAAAUGAUCUCUGCUAGAGGUGCAAAACCUGAACACGAACGCGAUAAUCUAAAGAAUCAUGGAAAUGGGUAGUUGAAUGGCACGGAAGAGGACUCCCACUAGCACUCAGUUGGGAAGAGGUUGCUCUUCUUGAGACGAUUCACUUAAAAGACAUUGCCGAGAGAGCACGG